ACCAAGUCCCGACUCUUUGGAAGGGAUGCAUUUUUUAGAUAAAAGGCCGGCGCGGGCUUGCCCGCUUCUCCGGUGAAUCAUGAUAACUCGACGGAUUGCAUAACCCUUGUACUGGCGAUGCUUCAUUCAAAUUUCUGCCCUAUCAACUUUCGAUAGUAGGAUAGAGGCCUACCAUGGUGGUGACAGGAGACGGAGAAUUAGGGUUCGAUUCCGGAGAGGGAGCCUAAGAAACGGCUACCACAUCCAAGGAAGGCAACAGGCACGCAAAUUACCCAAUCCUGACAUGGGGAGGUAGUGACAAUAAAUAACAAUACUGGGCUGAUCGAGUCUGGUAAUUGGAAUGAGUACAAUCUAAAUCCCUUAACAAGGAUCCAUUAGAGGGCAAGUCUGGUGCCAGCAGCCGCGGUAAUUCCAGCUCCAAUAGCGUAUAUUUAAGUUGCUGCAGUUAAAAAUCUCGUAGUUGGAUCUUGGGUCGUAAAGGUCGGUCCGCCUACUCGGUGUGCACCUGCCCUUCCGUCCUUUUUAUCGGCGGUGUGCUCCUGACCUUAAAUGGCUGGGUCACGGCUCCGGCACUGUUACUUUGAAAAAAUUAGAGUGCUCAAAGCAAGCUUAUGCUCUGAAUACAUUAGCAUGGAAUAACGUGAUAGGAGUUUGGUCCUAUUGUGUUGGCCUUUGGGACUGGAGUAAUGAUUAAUAGGGACUAACGGGGGCAUUCGUAUUUCAUUGUCAGAGGUGAGAUUUUUGGAUUUAUGAAAGACGGACCACUGCGAAAGCAUUUUCCAAGGAUGUUUUCAUUAAUCAAGAAUGAAAGUUGGGGGCUUGAAGAUGAUCAGAUACCGUCCUAGUCUCAACCAUAAACAAUGCCGACCAGGAAUCGGCGGAUGUUGGUCUAAGGACUCCGCCAGCACCUUCUGAGUAAUCAGAGUGUUUGGGUUCUGGGGGGAGUAUGGUCGCAAGGCUGAAACUUAAAGGAAUUGACGGAAGGGCACCACCAGGAGUGGAGCCUGCGGCUUAAUUUGACUCAACACGGGGAAACUUACCAAGUCCAGACAUAGUGAGGAUUGACAGAUUGAGAGCUCUUUCUUGAUUCAAUGGGUGGUGGUGCAUGGCCGUUCUUAGUUGGUGGAGCGAUUUUUCUGGUUAAUUCUGAUAACGAACGAGACCUCAGCCUGCUAACUAGCUACACGGAGGUUCCCCUUCGCGGCCAGCUUCUUAGAGGGACUAUGGCCGUUUAGGCCAUGGAAGUUUGAGGCAAUAACUGGUCUGUGAUGCCCUUAGAUGUUCUGGGCCAUACACGCGCUACACUGAUGCAGCAAACGAGCUUUUCUUCCUGGUUCGAGAGGAUCGGGAAAUCUUCUCAAAUUGCAUCGUGAUGGGGAUAGACCAUUGCAAUUAUUGGUCUUCAACGAGGAAUUCCU
rnacentral:rRNA from 1 species